GAUCAUACUUUUAAACUUGAAAUUGGUUUCUUGGACUCCAUGGGUGAAAAGGGUCCAUGGAUGAACAUCUAACAUACCUUAGAGCUUUAAAUCUUAAAAGUGAAUUGACUUUUCUUGAACGUUCUUGGAUUGAGAAUCUUAAAUUCUUAAUUUUCUUUAAAGAGGCUUGAAUCUUUUUCUUGGGGAAUGAUCUUGAAAGAAAACCCUAAUCUUGAUAUUGAAAAUAAAUAAGGAUUUUUUGGCAUCUAAAAUUGAUAAGUGAUGGCUAAUAACGCAUAAUGAUGCUUUAAGUCGUGGGAGGGAUAGGGUUUGAGGUGAGGAAAAUAUCAAAAUACCCCUCCAAAGUUAAAUUAGAAUUUCUGAAAUUUUUAGUUGAUGACUUGCGUUGAUAACUUAUCAACUAGUUGAUAACUUAUCAACUUAAGUCAUCAACUCAUUGUUGGAUUUGGGCCCUUGCUGGUCAUGGAUGACGACUUGAGUUGUUAAGUCGUCACUUAGAUGACAGCUUAUUGUAACGCCUCAAAAAUCUAUCUCGAGAUGUCACACAGUGCUUAGGACCAUAAGUGAUCCCAUGCUAACCCUUCUACUAGCAUAACUCAUAAGCAACUGAAUGAUAUGCAUAAAAUGACUGAUUUUACUGUGUGGAAACAUAAUAAUGAUGAAAUCUGGGAAAAAUAAAAUAUCAAUGCAACUUUUACAUUCUGAUAAAGUCUGAAAGAGGGACUAAAAUUACAUAACUGACUCUAACUGACAUAUGUGAAACCUCUACUAUACUGACUAUAGAUAACUGGGAUGCGACUCCAACUAUCAAUAAUCAAUACAUAUGAAUAAGAAAAUAAAGUACAUAAAAAACAUCUAAAUAAAGUCCCCAAAAUAGGAGGACUCGUCAUCUACUAGCUGGAAUCAGCAAACUGUCUGAAUAUAGUAUACGUGCUACAACUGAGUUGAUACCUACAUUAUGAGUUAAUAUAGUACAUAAACAUAUAUGUGGAUCAGUACUUUGAGGAUGUACUGAGUAUAUGGGGGUGAAUGCAUAAGUAAAAACAUCAUCUCAUCAUCAUAAUUUGAAAAACAAUGCAUGCUACAUGUAAAUGACUCACAUAAGCUGGAAUAUCUGAAAUGCUGAAAAUAAUAAUCAUGAAAAGCAAAUCAUGCUUUAUAAAUCUAGUGAGUCAUAACAUUUAGUUCUAAAAGUUGCCCUUGUAUUCUCCCUUUAAAUCAUACUGUCUAAGUGUAGAAAGGACUCUCUAAAUCUAAAAUUUGAAAUAUGAAAGCUGAAAACUGUAGUUAAUAUCUUUCUGUAAAGCAUAAUUCGAGUAAAAAUUGUGAGCCUUAACACUUAGUUUUUUUGAAAGCUUUUCUGUUACCCUUUCUAUUCUAGAAUCUGUAGUCUGAAAACUUUAAAAAUUUAGGGAAAAUACUUUAUUUGAAGGGAGAUACUUUAAAACUAUUCUGAAAAGCUUAUUAUAUGGAAAAACUGUCCUGCAAGAGAGGUUCUCUUAACUGAUAUAAACCAUGCGAGCAACGUGGAGUCAUACAUCUCAUCCUCCUAAGAAAGAAACCUUAUGUUGGGGAGAUCGUCAUACUCUUACCAGGGAGUAUAACCUACGCAUGUGAUCGAUCACAAGCUAAGUCUGUCAUCCAUAUAGAAAUGGAAAUCAUCUAAUAAUCUGUACCUACGUUGGCUACGUUGUUCUGUGAAAGUAGGAUACGCUAAACCCACACUUCUCGCUCGGUGCUAAAUACUACUCCCUUUUAUUUGCUAAGCUCAUUCUGUUGUAAAUCCACUUUUAAAUACUUCUUUUUGUAUAUAGUAGGCCAUGUAACUCAUUAUGUAAAAAGAGUAUUGGUCGUUGAAAGUUGACCUAAGCUGAAAUAUCUACUAAAACUUAACCAAUAGAAGCAUUCUUAACUCGUCUUUGAGUUAGGAGAUUUUUAUGACCCCGACUGAUAUAAAAGGAAUUUUUCACACUAUAUAAUUGAUCAUCACACAUAAAUAGACAUAGAAUCAUUGGGUUCAGGUUUGUAUAAUUAGGAACAAAGGUUUGAAUCCUAGCACGAAAACGAGAGGUGUUACAACUUAAUAUACAUCAAACUCACUCAUAAACUUGAAGUAUGGUUCUAAUACUGGUUUGGAGGCUUAUUAAGCUGAGAGUACUGAAGAAUCUGAGAUCAGAACAUGCAUGAAUAGGAACAUGUGAACCUAACUGAGUCUGAAACAUGAUACAUGAAAUGAAUAUCAUGAACUAAACUGAUUUUCUUGUAUACAGGAGAAUGGUUAUAAGGCUGAGAUUUGAACGAGAGAUUCAACUUAUGAGUACCCAUUACUUCAAGCUGGAUCUUAUUACGUAAAGAGAAGAUGAAAGUUUUAGGGCAUGAAAUCUCGGGAGACAAUAGUACAUCUCCACCUUAGGAUGUUAUGUCCCUCGAAAGAUACUGACUUGGCUAAAAUACUGAGGAAAAAUUGAGAUGAUGCACGGGGCACUUACGAACUGAAUCAUGACUGAAUAUCUGGAAUCUGAAACUGAUGCAUGAUCUGAACUGAAUUUAUGACUUGCAUGGUCGUGAAGGAAUUUCCUCAUUAAUAAGAGAGAUGAAAGCCAUAGGAACUUGUCUGCUUGACUGCUAUACUAAAUUGUUGGCUAUACAAACUAGCUCAUACUGAAAGCUUAUACUUAACUAGAGUAUUUCUUCGACACUUUCUAUGAAGUUCUAAUGGAUUUAGGGAGAAAAGAUUCUUAGGAAUGGUCUGAAUAAAACAUUUGAAUAAGAAAUCACAACAUGGAUAAAAUUAUGUAAAAUGGAACAUUGGCCUGCGAAACAUCAGCUAUAUAGAGUUACUAAGCCUUAUGCACCGCAACUACUAACUUUCAAGCUUAACCACACUUCUCAAAUACUCCCUCAACUAUACUUUCUACUUUAACACCGCGCUUCACUUGAGGCUACUGAAAAUAUCCACAUGGGCACUAAUAACUCUACCUACUGAAGUCUGACCUGGACUAAAUUCCCCCACUAUAUUUAAGCCUACUCGAAUCUACAAAAUGCACACAUAACACUGUAAUACUUGUCUGAGUCAUGAAUUCAAUACACUCUGUAUUUUCAUAACUUCCCAUCUCCUGAAUAAUUCUUAUUACCACUUCAACAACUACAUUCAACCUCUUACUAGCUGUUCACUUACGCGCAAUACAGCCAUCCACUUAUACCAACUUGACAUUCAAGCCUAUCAUCAUAACUACAUAUGAACUUCUAAAUAAACACCCAUAAAAAAAUCUUCCAAACCUCCAUCAUUAACAACUUCCAUGCACCACCCCAAGAAAGCACACAUAAAAUUUCAACUAACCAACACAUAUAUUAAAACUUAGCCUCAAUCUCACUUCAUACUUACAACCUUAGCUAAAACAAGCAUAAAACAAUCUUUCAUCAACAAGAAAUAUUUACUCUCUCCAAUAUAACCAAUUCUUCAUCACUACUAUCAUUUUCAUAAAGAGAGGUCGCUAAAAGGUUAACACAUGAGGACCUGAAGCAUGAAUGACCUCUAUACAUAACUUGACACUUAACUGAGGACUGAGGAAUAGAAUAUCACUAUCUUGGAUUCAUCAAGAGAUCUGAAUUGAGGAUAUACAUGACAUAAAUAUAAUUUUUUUGGUGAUAGUUAAGAGUAUAACAUGAGUCAUAGGAACUGAGCAUACUGUAAAUCAUAGCCACAUGAGUCAUGUGUUGUAUGACCUGAGUUUGGAGUUUCUGAAUUCAUAGAACAUGAUUCAUAUGCUGAGUGAACUGGAACUUCUUAUACCAGGAACUGAGAGGUUACAUGAUUCUCAGUUAUGUGUAUGAUCAUGAACUAUGAUCAUAGAGAUGACAUAUAAGGCAUGAGUAGAUAUCGUGAUGGCUGACAACUUUGCACUGGGAUAAGAAUGGAUUAGGCAUCUUUCUCCCCUAUUGAUAUUCUACAAUACGCUGGCACUAAUACUAGAAUCUGAAAGCCUGACUUGGUUACUUGUUCUAUCAUCUCCUCCUUAGCUUAAAGCCAUCAUUCUAAGUCUGGGAACCACUUAAUCAAUAUCUCUAAACUGAAUUGCCACCACUUUACUCUAGAAUCUGGGUUAUAAUAAUAUGCAUAAUUGGUAAACUCACCUUGAAUGACUAUGCCCGAUAAUAUAAAACUUAUUGCUUGUACUUUCUUUUGAGAUACAACUCUUAGCCCUCUAUAGCCCUAACAAUAAUGAUGUAACUACUUAAAAUUGACUAACUUGGAAUUUUUCAAAUCCUUUUUCUAUUAGCUCAACCUUCAAAGAUUCAAACUUAGAUUCUAACACAUAACAUGGAUAUCCCCAAAUCUUUAGUAACCAUGCUACUUUCAGCAUAGCCUACAAUAUCACAUCUCUAAACUUAUAUCUCUCCCUAAACCAUAAAAACUACUAUUACACAUGAAUACCUGACGUCAAUAUGCUAUAGCCCAUAACUUAGCUGGUAAGAACAUCAAUUACUUUAUUACUAGCCCCCUUCAAACUUAAAACUCGAGGAUGCUACUUAAGCAUAACCAUGCUGUCAUACUUAGCUUAAAUCCUUGCAUACACUAUUUCAAGCCUACUGAUUCACCUUUCAUACAACUAGCCCUAUAGAUACAUAAUCAGCUCAAAUCAGAUAACACUAUCUCAAUUCUACUACUGUUGCUAAGCUCCUAGUUUCAUGCUUUUAAUUCUAGAUCAUAUGCUAUCAUAGAAUUAUGGGAAGGAAUCUAAAAAUACGUUUGAAUCCUAAGCACUGAGGUACUACCAUUUCAUUCACUGGUUGUUUCAUCGAAAAACUAAAACUAAACUACUCUAUUUUUUAAAUCAAUUGAAGUGAUUUACUGGGACACUGUAACUGGGCAAUUUUUGUAUACCCAUCUGUCUAGGAUAGAUUUACCCACUAGAGUAGGCACUGAGAAGGGCUCUGCUAAGGUUUCGGGACUGAUACUGAACUCAACAACUAUAUAGGGGUUACAAAACAAAGAGAAGCUCCAGAGUUUAACAAAGCAUAAAUAUAUAAAUGAAAGGACUGUAACAUACCUAUAAACACAUCAGGAGAACUUUAUUGAUCCUGUCAGGACUGAAGUGCAUAUAGCCUGUCCUGACGCUGGCCACUGGUUGCGCUGGAAAUGGCACCCUACUAAGUCGGGUGACCGAAUGAAACUGAAGGACGGUUGGACCGACCCUGCAGACCACUCUUUGGACAAUCUCUAAAUCCGUGGCCUGGCUUGCCACACCCAAAACACAUAUCACUACCGGCCCUACACACACCCUUGUGAUUCUUACCACAUUCUCCGCAAAGUGAAUUAGUACGAAUACCCUUCCCACUACCUUGUGAAUUAAAUCCUGGUGCUCUAUCUUGACUAUCAUUCUUAAACUUAGGCACUGAUGCACUGGCUGAAGGUGUAGCUGGGGCUGAGAAUUUCUCACAGAAUUAGGAGCGGUUACUACCCCUUGACCUUGGCUUAAAACUACUUGUUCUGACCCUCUUAUUCUUUCUUUCUUUCUUCCUACGCUCUCUUCUCUCACUCAAUCGAGUAUGAAUCAAAAGCCUAGAUAGGACAAUGACCUAUAGAUUGUUCUGAGUAACUACUGAAUAAGCUAAGGCAGUAAAAGAAACUCUAAAUUCAGAGUGAGAGACAGGCUCAUUCAAGGGAUCUUCGUGAAUAGGCGGAGGUAUUGGCUGAUUCCUAUUUCUUCUUUCAUUGUUCUUUCUGGGAGGCAUUUUCUGUACAUGGAAUGAUGGAUGAGUUAGGAAGAGAGUGUAAAUAGAAUUUAUGCUCUAUCACACGACAUGAAUACUGAAAGAAAAGAAACUUUUCCUAAAACUUCUUGUAGCCUCUUAUCUAUAAGUGUGGCGCGCUUCACACCUAUGUACAAGACUCUACUCGAUGCAGCUUUCAGACUCCCUAUGACGCUUUAAAACCUUAAGGUCUGAUAUCAAGUUUGUAAUGCCCCUAGAGUACACCCUAGGUGCCACAUGAUGCUUACGGUCCCGAAAGACCACAAGCUAACCCAUGACUGGUACCUGCUAUGAGCAUUGAGUAUAACUGAUAUCAAAAGAUCAUAUACGAAAUUUAACUAAAAAAUGUCAUAAGGUUUUAAAACAUAAUUCUGAUAAUGUUAGUAAAAAAUACUGAUAAUUUUGAUAAAAUGACUAAAAACUGACUGCCUGUACUAGUUUGAAAAACCUCUACUGAUGGGACAAACCCCUAACUAACUCCGACUAAAUAAAAAAUACUGAACUGAUAAGGUAAACUAAGAUAAAUAAACCAUGUCUUCGAAGUAUGAGGACUCACCACUGCUACAACUGAUAAUCUAGUAUGUCUAUGCACGAUCAGGGAACUGAGCAUCAAAACCUAUGAUAUUAAAUAUCAUGACAUAAGAAGUGAGUAUAUGAUCAGUACUUUGAAUGUACUAGUAUGCUAAAUGAGGUUAGGCUAAUAUGCAUGGUUUCAUAUACAUGAGUAAUAACUGAAUGAAAAACAUGAGGUACUGAGUAAAAUGCACGAAAUUUGUAAAGACGAAGAAUGCAUGACCAAGCAUAAAACAUGUUCUGAAUAUAGUCUGUAAACUGAAAUAAUGAAUACUUAUAAAUGAAUAAUUGAUAUCUGUAUGCUAUGGUCAAGCAAAACUAAAACUGAAUUACUAAGAUAAAUACUAGACUAAGACUGUGGGAGCUAGCUAUAACCAACAUGCCCUAAUAUACUAUCAGGGUCCGACCUAUAAACCCAGUUGGAAGGAUGUCAGUACCAUGUCAUGGGUACUAACACUGGCUGUGUGGAACCACUAAUCUGAAGUCCCAAAGGACGAUGGUGUCAUGCCUAACUAAUGGGGUACCCCUCAAAAUCUACGGUGGCGAUAUAGGUCUAGAACCUAGGGACUACUACAAGUGCCUCAUGCCUAACUGAUGGGGGGAUACACCAUCCCUACGCUCACUUGGUGCUAAGUGUUACUCCCAAAUGAAUGACACUGAUUAUUAGACUGAACUACGUUUAAUUGAUUAUGAAUUCUCAUAGUGCUCAUUAUGAUAAUAAUAACUGAGAAAUCAACUAUGCUGAUGGUUUAACUGAAAUCAUUCUGAGGAUACUGAAAGUAUGUAAACAGCUAAAUUUUGGGUAUUCAAACCCCCAAGACUCGAUAGCAAUAACAACAAGAUCAUACCAAAACUUUCAGGACUGACAUGUAGUUAAUAUUCAAAACUCAUUCUUUGAGGCAUUUCAUCAAACACUUUCAAUGCAUGGCUUAAACAUGAGAAUAGUUUUAAACAUGUGGUAGUAGCAUGAUUUUGAUACUAAAUCACCAAUUAAGGCUUAAAUCAGCGAACAACACCAUUCAAACGUCUAGGGUUUAAUAACAACAACAAUUUCUUGUAAAGAUGAUAUAAAAUUUGAAAUUCAUGGACAUAAUUCAUAAAAAUCACUACCAGAAAGUACUCCUAUUGCAAUGAACCUUUUGACAAUGCUUCCAAAAGGGUUGCUAUAGAGAAUCUAUUGCAACACUUUCAAGUGUUGCAAAAAAAAAAAAUUAUUUUAGUUGAACAAUUUUGUGUUAUAACCGUUGCUAUUGAUGGAUAAUCGUUGCAAUUGGGUUACUUUUAGCAACGAUUGCAUAAACCGUUACCAUAAAAUUAACUAUGACAACACUUAAUUGACAAAAAAAAAAUGCUAUUGCAUCGGUUGUAUUUUUUCCCUCCCCAAAUUUUCUCUAUAUCCACCAAAAAUUAAAAUAAUAUAUAAGUAUAUAUAGAAAAUUUUCCAUUACUGUUAAAUGUUUCCCAUUCUCAACCACACACCGCCAUACUCUCAACCACAUGCCACCACCGGUACGCUCCGAUGACCACACACGCCACGCCACCAGCUCCGACGACCACACACGGCACGCCACCAGUAGCUUCGACCAUACACCACCAGUAUCUCCGACCACACACCACCAGUAGCUCCGACCACACACCAUCAAUUUGAUUUUAGUUUUCAAUUUGCACUUUAAUUUUUGAGCUAAUUUACGAUUCUUCUUUAAUUUGGUGAUUUUAAGGUUAAUGUAUUCUUCUAGUUGGAGUGUAAGAUGCGGGAAGCACGAUUGAGAUGGUUCGGACACGUGAAGAGGAGGGGCAUGGAUGCCCCGGUCCGUAGGUGUGAGAGGCUAGCGUUGGAUGGUUUUAGACGGGGUAGAGGUAGACCGAAGAAGUACUGGGGUGAGGUGAUUAGGCGGGACAUGGAACAGUUACAGCUCACCGAGGACAUGACCCUAGAUAGGAAGGUCUGGAAGAUGCGAAUUACGGCAGAGGAUUAGGGCCAGUUCGGGUCGCUAGGGUAGGGAAUUAAUUGGGGGGGUGUAUUCCUGUUAUGAUCCCGUAUUCAGUGUUCCGUGUUCCGUGUUCCAUGUUUAUUACGAAUCUGUGUGCUUUCCUCUGCUUUAUAUUCCUGCAUUCCUGCUUUACUCUGUUUUAUAUUCCCUAUGGGUGCCGUAUUUAUGUUAUGUCAUCUGCUGCCGUGCUGUACUAUGUGUUUGUGUGAUAUCUCGUGACUUGAGCCGGGGGUCUUUUGGAAACAGCCUUUCUACUUCAUCAGAGGUAGAGGUAUGGACUGCGUACAUCUUACCCCCAGACCCCACUAAGUGGGAAUACACUGAGUUUGUUGUUGUUGUUGUUGUUGUAUUCUUCUAGUUGAUAAUUUUGACCUAAUUUUAUGAGUUUCUAUUUUGGGGUUUUUUAUUAGCGGAUGCUCCUUUAUGAUUUGAAAAUGAGUUGGAAAUCAGAAAUCCAAGUCAAGGAUCUUGAAAAAAAAGGAUCGUUGGUAUAUAUAGUUGUUUCGAUUGCCUCUUAUCAUGUAUUUACUGUUAGUUUUGAUAUUGAUGAUUGUAGAGUAACACCAUAUUGUUCUUUUUUGGUCCUAAUCUUUCUGUAGUAUUAUCUUUUUUUGUGAUGUUUAAUGUUUUGGUUCAUAUUUUCAAUAGCUUAGGUUUUAAAAUAAUUUCAUCUAAUGUUAUCUAUUGAAGAAAAAAGAUUAUUGGUAUAUAUAGUUGUGUCGACAUACUUAUAUCAUCGCCAUAAAGAGGAACUCUAUUUGAUUCAGUGGAGGCAUUAUUUCUUUCUCCCUUAUCUUGAUGGUGUAACUACUAUUAACUUAUAGCUGCUGCUGUCAGUCAUGCUGCUAAUUGCAUGUUUAAACUCUGUCCAUAUUUAUUUGUUAUUUCAGUGUAUCUUUUAGGUACUGGAAGUUGUCUCUUGUGGUAUAUCAUGAUAAGUGCACUCAUCCUGAAGCUCGCCAAGCAUUCAUCAAGCUGAACAAAGACUUUAAAGUUUGCAAGAUCCAGCUAAAGUGAGUAAUUAACUGAUACCAUCAUUUAUUUUCCUCACAAAUUUUAUUAUGUGAAGAGAAGCUUCUUUAAGGUCUGGCUUAAAACUCUGUGUUGAUUUUCUAGUAGCAAGGGUAAAUGCAGAUUUUUUUAAUUUAUUUAUUAAUUUUGUUUGUUUGUUUGCUAUACUGUUAGUUGUCUUGUGCCGGGGGUCUAUUGGAAAUGUCUCUCUACUUCAUCUGAGGUAGUGGUAUGGACUGUGUACACUUUACCCUCCCCAAACCCCACUUUGUGGGUAUACACAGGGUAUUGUUAUUGUUGUUGAAGGUGAAAGUCCAUUCACGUGAGUUCUGUCCACCUAUCAAUAAGGUUUGACAUGGUAAAUUAUGUGUUUUCCACUACAUAGUUCUGGUUGUUUCUUCUCCAUGUAUAUGGUAACCUUAUUGUGGAUCAGAUGAAGUGGUCAAACAGAUUAGUUGGGGCUGCUGAUUAAUAAUUUUUGUAUCAAAUAAUAUCUAGCCGAUGUUGUGAUGUUUAUUAGUAUAUAGGCAUUUAUUAUAGAAUAGUGUAUAUAGUACAAUAUGUGGAUGGCUAUUCCCCAAUUUAGAGCAGCACAUAUGUUAUAUUCUUAUUUAUUCUAGUUAUGGAUGUAGCAUUCUCCUUAUUGAUCGAGUAUUUAGCUAUCUUAUGCUACUUUAACAUUGAUCACUGUCCUAAAGAUUUGGUUAGAAGAUAUUUCUACUUUAAAGAUUCCAUUACACCUCUUCAUAUAAUUACAUGAUUAGUUUGGGAGAAAAAUGAACUGGUUCUUCCAGCUCACUGCAGAUUCCAUGUACACUUCUUCAAUUUGAUGUUGUAAUUAUGUGUAUGGUGAGACUAGCUGCAAAUUUGGAGUUGGAUAUGUGUAGUUAUGGUAAGGAGAGUUUGUAUCUAAAUUCAUCUGAUUUAAUGACCCUGUAAAGCAAUUCUUUAAACUCAAACAUCAGAUUUAUCAGGUGCGCAUAAGCUAGCCCGGAUACCAUGAUUAGCAAAGAACAAAAAAGGAUUCUUCUUUUUCAAAUAACAACCGGGUCAAUUUGAGAUUGCUUAUAUUGAGGAAGCUAAAAAUGUACUUAUCUCGUUGGGACAAUUUUCUUUUAAUUAUGUGUAAGGUGAUACUUGUUCAACCAAACUUUGUAUCGUGCUUCACAUUUAAGUUUGUAUGUUCUUCAGAUCGUUGGAAUUCUCGAUAUUAGUAGGGAAGCCUGGAUUCAUCGAGAGGACUGGAUUAGAAAUGGGAUUCACAUUGGCAGUGGUAGAAAAUACAAGGAUUCAUAUUAUCUUCAAGCAUAAGCAAUGUGCUAUUUGAAUUUAUAAGAGGUACAAAUCUAUGUUUUUCUAAUUUAUCCAUUGGAAUAUUUAUUUUUCAACUACUUUGACAGUUUAACAAAACUCUGUGCAGGUUUUAUACAAUGCUUUUAUUUUUCCUUCAGAUAGUGGGAAGGGAAAGGAGAGCCUCAGGAGAUUAAUCUAGAAAUGAUGAGGAAAGGAUAGGGCUAUGAUUAUUUUCAUUUUCAUCUUAUCAAUACAUGAUUCUUGUCCAGUUGUCCUUGUCUUUAGAUUUUUUGUUUUUGUUAUUGUUUUUGGGCUGGGCUGCUGGGGGUUGGAGUAUAUGCUUUCAUAUUGUUAUAAUUGUAGAAGAGAUUUUGAGAGAGAAUUGGGAAGUAAAAAAUUUGAGCCAGUUUUGGUCAUCAAUAUUUUGUGUUUUACACUUAUAUUCAGAAUUAUUCAAAAUAGAAGGGGCCUCUUGGCGUUACUGAUUAAGUUACUGCCAUGUGGCUAGAGGUUAUGAGUUCAAGCCACGGUGACAAUCUCUUACAGAAAUGCAAGGUAAGGUUGUGUACAAUAGACCUUUGUGGUUUGGACCUUCCCUGGACCUCAAGCAUAUCAAUGCAUAGUACAUUGGACUGCCCUUCUAUUCAUAAUUGUACGAGAUAAAAGAACCAUUCGAGGAGUAUUCAUACAUAAAUACAUAUAGGCACCACAAUCAAAUCUAUCUACAUUAUUAUUUCAAUCAAUAAGUAGGCAGUAAUUAUGUUCCUUAUGUACUUAGUGUUUCAUCUCCUCUUCUUCUUUUCUUUCUUCUGCUCAGUUGGGUGCUUUUAGGUGCUCUUAGAGGUGGUUUAGACCUUGCUUUUAGGAAUGAAUUGUGCAGUGAAACAUAUGAAGGGACAAACAUGUCGAGUACCCAUCACUGGGUCAUACAGUAACCUUUGAAAAAUAUGCAUGCUUUCUAUAGAUGUUGUGAUGUUAUUGCUGUUAACAUUUCUCUUUUAAUUCCUUUGUUGUUCAGCUUUCUACAGACUUACGAGAUUUGAGAAGGAGACUGGGCGUGCUAGCUUAUCUUGAAGACAAAGGUACCGAAAGCCUCCUCCAUCCCUCCGAACUCAUUUGGUUAGCGCUUUCAUCCAUAUUAUUCCAGAGUAUGUGGUAGCACUUGUGUUAAUAAUUAAACCUUUAAUGUGAACCUAUUUGAAGUCUCUGAGAAUGAUACAUUACACGCAUUGCAUUAAAGUUUUAUCUGUAACUUCUGUUUGACUGUCUCAUAGAACCAACGGCUAAAUUACUGCUGGAGAACAUGGUAUAUGUAAGUUUAAAUUUCUGUAAUUGGGUUCAUUACACUCAAACAUAGAGAGAUGUUGUUUAAAGUUUCUCAAAAGGGAGUGGUUGAUCUUGGCUGGCUUAAGUUAAUAAUUCAAAGUUGGGCUUUGCAUUAGCAUGAUGGCAUCUGUUAGAUCUUUGUUUUUGUUUUUGUUUGCCUUAAUGAUUCCAUCAUGCACUGCCAUCAUCUUAACAUAGUUAAACUGGUGAAGGUUGUAAUGAAGGGGUCAUGGGGUAAGAAUCUCCGAGUCAUUUUCAUAUUUUGAUAGUGAUGCCACUUCAGUCCAAGUAACUACAGAGGUCACUAUAGUAGAUGCUAUGUAAGAUUAACCUAAUUGCCCAUAUAAUCUCAGUUAUAAACAUUAUUUCUAGAUAGAGAUGGCUUUAUUUGAACAUUUGUUGGUGCUAUUGAAUUCAUUUACAAACUCUCAGCUACUAUAGUGUUAUUUUACUUUUGGCCAGCACAGUCUUCUCAGCUACUAUAGUGUUAUUUUACUUUUGGCUAGCACAGUCUUCUUUUAUUAUUUUUAGUACGAUCGUAUCAUUUCAUUUGAUAUAUUUUGGCAUGUUAAUGAACCUCUCCCUUACUUUAAAAUAGAUGAUGUUUGGAACCAGACUUGGCAAGAUAGAUCUUGAACCAAGUAAAAUACAAAUGAAUUUCACAUGGAACGUGUUAUUGUUAAGAGUGACCGAAAGAUAAUAGAGCAAAUAAUGAUCUUUCAUCCCGUCGCUGACUCACUUCUCCCCAUUGUUAUUGCAGUAGUUAUCUGAAAAUUAUUGCAAUAGAUAUCUGGGAUUUGACGAUGUUGAUUGGGAUUGGUUUUUGACUGGAAUGUUCUUAGGAAACUAGAAAAGAAUCCUUAAAAUGUACAUGACAAGCUAUCCAUUAGCACUAACUAGGUGAGUGACGUUCAUGCAUCUUCUCUUGAGUAAUUCAGUUAGUAAACAUCAGUAGAAUGCAAAAAUUGUUACCAGCGUAAUUUAAAGCAAGUGCAAGGUAGGUAACAUUCUUCUCUGCUGAAUUUUUAUUCCUUUGUGCCAACUCGAAUUGAAUACAUGGACUUAGCUGAAAAGGUGACAAAGUUUAUUCCUUUGCGCCAACUCGAAUUGAUUUCAGUGUAUAUUCUCAAUCCGAAACUGUUUUUGGGGUUGGUUAUAUGGAUCAUCCCAUUUGGACUCCAGUGCUCAAUAAUUUGUGUAUUUACGAUAACAUCAACAAUGUGUUUGGAUGGUUGUUACCUAUUUUAUGGUAUUGUGUUGUUAGUUUAGAUACAUUGUUUAUUUUGAUUUUUACUUAAAUUUUAUUACUAUAUAGUAUAGUUAAAAUUCUUUGUUGGGUAAUGACAGAAAGUCCCAUUUUAUGUAACGACCAAUUUGGUGUGGUUGUGUCAUUACCUAAUUUUUUUCGUAUUGUAUCUUUACUUAUUAUCUAAUAAUCCUCUUUAUCCUUUGCCAUACCUUUUUAUAGUAGCCCUACGCCAUCUCCUACUUUUCUUGUUGGUUUACCUUUCAAAUUGUUGAUGUGUAAGAUUACAUAACGACGGACAGUGAUACAAUCUAUCCAAAAGUUGUAUUCAUUAAAGAAAAUACAGUACGAUAUAAUAGAAUAGAAAUGUAAUGCAAUACAAUGCAUUGUGAAACAAUAUAUCAAAACCAUCCAAACAAAGUGUAAAGAGUUCUCUAGAAGUAGAAAUUCUCUAUAUGACAUCUCUGCUAAUAGAAUAUGACUUGUAAGCAUUGCAGUUUGCUGAAUAUUAGAAUGAUGAUAAUUUUAAGUUAUGAUGCUAAUGUUUAGCUUUAACAGUCUCUACAAGCUUUAAAGAAGACAUCUCAGGAAGAUCCAACUGCUUGUUUGCGAGCAGGUGCACUUAUGAUUGUGCUUUCGUAUCUUGAUUUCUUUUCCACUGGUGUUCAGGUAGAGAAGCUGAUAAAUUAUUAUUCCAUUAGUAGGGUGAGUAUCAUUCUGAUCUUUUUCCUUUCUUCCGUAGAGAGUAGCACUGGCAACUGCUACUAAUAUGUGCAAGAAGCUGCCUUUGGAUGUUGCUGACUUUGUGAUGGAAGCUGUUCCACUGUUGACUAAUCUCCUCCAGUAUCAUGAUGCACAGGUGAGAUCAUCAUCACGUGAUAACAAAAUCAGGGAUAAUAUGUCUUAUUUUUAGCAUGAUGAACUUAUUUUCAUCUGUUUUUACUCUUCAAUCUGGUUAAGUCUUCUAUCUUGGAUAUGUAAUCUAUUGCUGAAUGAUGUAGGGCAUACAUGAUACAUGUCAAUUUUGUGUAUGUAUUUGACUGGAAAAGGCCCAUGUUGUGUUAAUCUCAAGGUUUUGUUUCAUGGUUCAUUGAGUUCUUGUUGAAUUUAUAAGAAUCAUACCAGUGGAAGAAAUUUGAAUAUCUUGAUGCAGUAUUAGAUUAUAGCAGCAAAUCUGUACUGAAAGCUCUGGUGUAUGCAAUUCAAGAAGAAGUCACCUGGAGAGUCCCUAACUUGGGAAGACCUUGGCAAGAUCAAGUACACCUGGAGAGUGGCAAUGGAGACACUCAGAAUUUUCCCUCCGAUUUUCGGAGGCGUCAGGCAGACUGUAAAAGGCACCAAGUAUGAACGCUACCUCAUUCCGAAAGGAUGGAAAGUAAGAUCAACAACCCCAUUUUUAAAAUCUUCUAUUCUUCAACCUGUCAAUUUUGGUAGUACUCUGUUGUUUUCUGAUUGUCAGUAGUCCACAUUUAACCACUGCUUAAACAUGCUAAAACAAAUGCUUAAUGUCAUGGAGAGAACAAAUGCUUAAUAUCUUGAUAUCCAGUUCCACUUCCUCAUGAGUUUUCUUUCUUCAGGUUCUAUGUGAGAGACAUUUUUGUAGAAUCAACUAAUCUGUUAGUGGAUUUGGAGAGAUUGCCAAAUCCUUAGCAAAAGGCUUGGGUGAUCAUAGAAGUUAGAUACUUUAUAGGGCAAAUGUCACAAGUAUCAUUUUGGACAAUGGCAAAGCUAUGAGUCUUCUGUCGUAGGACGUGUUUGAAACUUUUGUUGAGAGUGAUUAUUCCAAUUAUAAGAUGCGAAAGCUGUAGUCUGAAGUUUGCUUUGGAAUGUUUUAGCUGACACUAUCUAGACAUACUAGGACUCGUGUUUCACUCAUUAAUAACACUGGUCAUAUCUUCUUUCUAUUGUUUGUCCAUCAAAAACACUUACAUAUGUGAACAUUAAUACGAGUGAUGCUAUAGUUGUAAUAGGUAGUCAAAAAGCAUUGCAACAGAAUAAGAAAAGCGUCGCAAUAGAUGCUAUUGCAACGGUUAGUAACUGUUGUAAUAUAUGAAAAUAGGCAUCCCAAUAAGUAAUGAAAUAGUUGUAAUAGGUACUCAAAAAGCGUUGCAACAGAAUAACAAAAGCGUUGGAAUAUGUGCUAUUGCAAUGGUUUAAUGUCGUUGCAAUAGACUUUAAUGCAAUGGUUGCUAACCGUUGUAAUAGAUGAAAAUAGGUAUCUCAAUAAGUUAAAAAAUAAUCGUCGCCAUAGCUUGACCUAUUGCAUCGAUUUCAGACAACUGUUGCAUAAACUGUUGCCAUAGUUCUAUUGCAACGCCCAUAUAUAGGAUGCUUGCUGAAGUGUUAAGGCAGAACUAUGGCAACGGUUUUGUUGUCUAUUACAACGGUUUUGCAACCGUCACCAUAGAGGUAACUUUGAGUAGUGUAAUAUGUAAAGGAUCAUACUUUUAAACUUGAAAUUGGGUUUUUGGACUGCAUGGGUGAAAGAGGCCCACGGAUGAACAUCUAACAUACCUUAGAACUUUAAAUCUUGAAAGAGAAUUGACUUUUCUAGAACGUUCUUGGAUUGGGAAUCUUAAAUUCUUAAAAUUCUUGAAGAAGGGCUUGAAUCUUGUUCUUGGGGAAUGAUCUUGAAAGGAAACCCUAAUCUUGAUGUUGAGAGUGAAUGAGGAGUUUUUGGCAUCUAAAACUGAUAAGUGAUGGCUAUAACGCAUAAUGAUGCUUUAAAUCAUGGGAGGGAUAGGGUUUGAGGUGAGGAAAAGACCAACAUACCCUUCCGAAGUUAAAUAAGAAUUGCUGAAAUUUUUAGUUGAUGACUUGAGUUGAUAACUUAUCAACUAGUUGAUAACUUAUCAUCUUAAGUCGUCAAAUCAUUGUUGGAUUUGGGCCCUUGCUGGUCAUAGGUAACUUGGGUUAAUAAGUUGUCACUUAGGAGAUGGCUUAUCACCUCGAGUCGUCAUUUUGUGGCUGAAAUUAUCACAUACUGAUUAUGGGUGAGGACUUGGGCUGAUAAGUCGUCACUUGGUUGAUGGCGUAUCAACUCAGGUAGUCACUUGGAAGCUGAAGUUGAUGGUUUUCUGGUUGUGCUGACGACUUGGACUGAUAAGUCGUCACUUAGCUGAUGUCUUAUCAACUCAGGUCGUCACUCUGUUGACAGACGGAGAGGCUAAAGUAAAAUGAGUAUAACUUUCCACUCCGGUAUCGGAUUAAUGUGAAAUCAAAUGCUUUGGAAAGAAUAUUCAAAGAUAUUUCUUUUGGUAUAUAGUAGGCCACGUAACUCAUUAUGUACAAGGAGUAAUGGUUGUUGAAAUUUGACCCAAGCUGAAAUGUCCAUUAAAACUUAACCAACGGAAGCGUUCUUAACUCGUCUUUGAGUUAGGAGAUUUUUAUGAUCCCGAUUGAUAUAAAAGGAAAUUUUCACACUAUAUAAUCGAUCAUCACACAUAAAUAGACAUAGAAUUAUUGGGUUCAGGUCUGUAUAAUUAGGAACAACGGUUUGAAUCCUAGCCCAAAAACGUGGGGUGUUAUCAAACUUACUCAUAAACUACCAAAGUACUUUAAUUUAUUUUGCAUGAGCCUGAAGCAUGGUUCUAAUGUUGAUUUUGAUUUUCGGGGUAUUACACUAAAGUCAUUAUUUUGUAUCAAUUUUGAGCAAAUUUACAAUGAAAAAAAUUAUGGGAAGCUAAUUGAAUUCAGAUUUUUGAAUAUUUUAUACAAAAUUUGUGGAAUGAGAAAGGUAAAUUGGAGUAUCAAAAAAGGUAAAUGAAUGGAGGUUUAAGAGUUUGAAUGGAAAGAAAAUUGUGAAUGAAAAGGAAAGAAAGAAGAGAAACGACAUGCUCGAUGUCAGCCAUCUUAAAGAAGAUUUGAUGGUGAAGUUCUUUGUGUGCAAUUCUUUCUAGAAAGACCCAAAAAGACAAAUUUUCAAAAUCACAGUAAACUAAACCUUUUUUGCACCAAUUUUUUGGGUACAGUAUAGUAAAAAUGAGCAUUUGAUAGGUGAAUUUUGAAGUCGCGGUGAGAAAUUGGAAGAAUUUUGCGGUAGAGAGAAUGAGAGAAAAGGGGGAAGAAGAAGAUGAUGAAAUAGUACAUGACUUAUACUGAGAGUGACUAUUUACCGAGUAUUUAAUUGUGAGUGCUAUGUUUAUGAUAUUAUUUUAGUUUUAGGUGUCAUUUUUGUUCUUUCCCCUUUUCGUUUUUUCCAGAAGCAGUAGCUAAGCUGUUUAACUAAAGUUGGAGUCUGAAACCUAAAGGUCAAGUUUUUUAAUUAAAAAUUUUAAAGGGGCAUGUCAAAAUGGAAAAAUAUUAAAAUGGUCCAUUAAAAAUUAAUGCUAUUUGAUUACAUGCUAAAGUGUAAGGUAAAAUCUCGAUUUUACUUUACAAAGUAAAUAGAGCCACUUAUCUUAUCCUUUGACUGAAAAAGUUGGUUGAGUUGGGAAUUUAAUGACAUUGAUGUACUCCCACUGUCCAUCUUAUUUUAUUCACUUUUCUAUUUUGAAUGUCGAACAAUACUUGUCCAAUUUAUGAAAUCAAUGGAUAAUUUAUUCAUUUUUACCUAUUUUAUCCUUGGUAUUAAAUACAAUAAAUCACUUAUUGCAUUUCAAAGAAAAAAAUUUAUUAAAUUCGAAUGGUGAUCUAGUAAAAUUAUUCAUCUAUUUAAUGUUUCUGAAUGCAUAUGUCAAGUCAAAAGUGAACAAGUAUUUAUGAAAUCAAUGCAUAAUUUAUUCAUUUUUACCUAUUCUACCCUUGGUAUUAAAUACAAUACAUCACUCAUUACAUUUUUCAAAACAAAAAAAUUAUUGUAUUCAAAUGGUGAUACAGUAAAAUCACGCAUCUAUUUAUUAUUUCUUA
rnacentral:lncRNA from 1 species